rnacentral:rRNA from 1 species
GAUGAACGCUGGCGGCGUGCCUAAUACAUGCAAGUCGAGCGAACAGACGAGAGUGCUUGCACCCUCUGACGUUAGCGGCGGACGGGUGAGUAACACGUGGGUAACCUACCUAUAAGACUGGGAUAACUUCGGGAAACCGGAGCUAAUACCGGAUAAUAUUUAGCUUCGCAUGAAGCAAUAGUGAAAGACGGUUCUGCUGUCACUUAUAGAUGGACCCGCGGUGUAUUAGCUAGUUGGUGAGGUAACGGCUCACCAAGGCAACGAUACAUAGCCGACCUGAGAGGGUGAUCGGCCACACUGGGACUGAGACACGGCCCAGACUCCUACGGGAGGCAGCAGUAGGGAAUCUUCCGCAAUGGACGAAAGUCUGACGGAGCAAUGCCGCGUGAGUGAAGAAGGUUUUCGGAUCGUAAAACUCUGUUGUAAGGGAAGAACAAGUACGUUAGUAACUGAACGUACCUUGACGGUACCUUACCAGAAAGCCACGGCUAACUACGUG